rnacentral:lncRNA from 1 species
CUAUGGGUAGGACAGCUAAUGAUAGCGGCAUCAGAUAGCAUAAGGAACAAAUUUUGAAGAUGGAAUGAGGCAGCUAAGAUCGACAAAUAUAUUAUUGCUCAGAAUUUCAAUAUCCACAGAGGAUUCAUCGCAGUUACAGCAAAGCAAAAUGGUUAGGAGAAGCAACAUAAUAGUAUCAGCGUUCUAAUAUGCCAUUAGA